rnacentral:lncRNA from 1 species
CAAUAAUCUAGCACACAAAAAUAAUAUUCCAAAAAUCGCAUACAGGUUGGAGCUAAAGUUUAAUGCAGCAAGAAGAAUAUAUAAAUAUUUUCACUGUGGACUGUACAGCAUUUGUUGUAGCUGGGGGAACCCUUUACGAAUGAAAAUAAUGCACUGCAAAAAUGCUAUCAAUAAACAGAAAAACUCUACCAAUAAUCCGGCACAGAGUCUUGCACACAAAAAUAAAUAUUCCAGAAAUGCUCAGCAGCUUUGAGAUGGAGAAAUGCAUAAAUAUUUUCCGAUUUAAUGAGCAAGUUUAAGCCUGGACUGUGAGGUGGUUGUUGUUGGUGUGCGUGCGUGCAACUGUUGCUAAUUAAAUUCUCUUUUUUAUUUUUUUGCAGAUUAUUAACAGCGAAAAAUGGGGCUUGCUUCGGCAUUAUUUUAUUUUUUUCUCACUGCUUUACUGUCCGUGCUGCUGAGUAUCAUUUAUGCCGUGCAAUUAACGCCA